UUCCCCUAGUAACGGCGAGUGAAGCGGGAAAAGCUCAAAUUUAAAAUCUGGUGGUCUUUGGCUAUCCGAGUUGUAAUCUAGAGAAGUAUUUUCCGCGUUGGACCAUGUACAAGUUUCCUGGAACGGAACGUCAUAGAGGGUGAGAAUCCCGUCCUUGACAUGGACUACCAGUGCUCUGUGAUAUACUCUCAAAGAGUCGAGUUGUUUGGGAAUGCAGCUCAAAAUGGGAGGUAAAUUCCUUCUAAAGCUAAAUAUUGGCGAGAGACCGAUAGCGAACAAGUACCGUGAGGGAAAGAUGAAAAGAACUUUGGAAAGAGAGUUAAACAGUACGUGAAAUUGUUAAAAGGGAAACGCUUGAAGUCAGUCGCAUUUGUUUGGACUCAGCCUUACUUCGGUUUGGUGCAUUUCCUUAUAAAUGGGUCAGCGUCAAUGUUGCUCGGUGGAAAAAGGCGAGGGGAAUGUGGCUCUUUCGGGAGUGUUAUAGCCCUUUGUCAUAUGCAUCGAAUGAUAUUGAGUGGUACAGCAUGCUUUUAGUGGUGCUUGUGCUGGCAUAAUGGCUUUAAGCGACCCGUCUUGAAACACGGACCAAGGAGUCUAACAUAUCUGCGAGUGUUUGGGUGGAAAACCCAAGCGCGUAAUGAAAGUGAUAGCUGGGAACCCCGCAAGGGAGGCACCGGCGCCCCGAGUUGAACUUCUGUGACGCAUCGGAGGUAGAGCAUAUAUGUUGGGACCCGAAAGAUGGUGAACUAUGCCUGAAUAGGGCGAAGCCAGAGGAAACUCUGGUGGAGGCUCGUAGCGAUUCUGACGUGCAAAUCGAUCGUCAAAUUUGGGUAUAGGGGCGAAAGACUAAUCGAACCAU
rnacentral:rRNA from 1 species